GAGUGAGAGAACCGAGAGAGAGCCGAGAGAAAACAAGAGGAGGAGGAGUUCAUUCUUCACCAUUCUUGUUCAUUCACCACCAAGACCAACCUAUUGGAAGGUGGUUCGCACGGCCGCUAAAGUCGGAACGAGAAGCUGCUUAAGGAAAAUUUUAAGCUUUCGAGGUUGAGCGAGGUCGGGAGGCGGAGGAUGUUGAGCAAUGAGCCAAGAAUUGUAAUCAAUAACGUUCUGGUUACUAUUGUGUCUUCAUACAUAGUAGUAGCUAACUCUCAAUUGCUUCCGCU